rnacentral:tRNA from 1 species
GCGGGCGUGGCGGAACUGGCAGACGCGCCAGGUUUAGGUCCUGGUGGGGUAAAACCCGUGCAGGUUCGAGUCCUGUCGCCCGCA